UAAAUAAUAAUUCUUUUCUUUCCUCAUAUAACAUAUUAAUAUUAUUAUUAUUAUACAUGACGUGUGUGAUAUGAAGGUGAAUCCAGUCCAUGUAGUGAACUGUGUGCUGUAUUGAUGAGGAGCUCAGUGAUCAGAGUCCAUGUAGUUUCCAGGAUCAGACUGAAUGCAGUGCUGGAAGCUGCUGUUGACUGUGUGAAUGUGUGUCUGUGCUGCUUGUUGCUGCUGUCAAACUUCAGAUAACCCGGUAGUGAAGCCUGUGGUGAGCGUGUACCCAGCAGCAUCCAGAGCCCACCAUGAGGGGAAGAGCUCCCUGCUGUGUGUGGCCUCAAACAUGUUUCCUCCUGUGGUCCGCUUCUCCUGGAAAAGACGAAAGGUGAACGAGUCUCUGGAGGAGCAGGCACCUGCCGAGGAGGUGCAGCUGGAGCUCAGAGAUUCGGGACGCACCGCCGCCAUCAGAGUGAUUGAUCGGGACGCUCUCUCCAUGUAUAAAUACCGCUGCUACGUCCAGCACGAGGGGGGGGGAGUGAAGGCCCAAACAGAACAAGAGGUUCCGGUGGCCUCCUGUCCUCCAGAGAGAGAGCCAGCAGACCUGGCAGCUCUGCAGCAAGCUGACUUGUCCUUCCAGUCUCAGUGCAGGGUGAAGCUGCUCUGGCUGCUGUACACAGUGCUGAUAGUGAAGAGUCUGGUGUACUGCUGUGGACUCCCUCUGCUGUGAAUCCUCAGAAACAAGGGACCGUCCACCGGCUGCACACAUGCUGACUGACUGUUUUCUGCUAGCCUUUUCUCAACAUCAGAUCUCAUCAAUUCAUCUCAGUGAUCACCACUCAGAAAUGUUAUGUUGUGCACAGGUUAGAUAUAGUCUUCAAAAAAUAUAAACACAUAUAUUUGCAGUUACUGAGUGUAAAUUCUGUGGUAUAGUGUUAUUUUGAUCAUCUAGUUUAUUUCCUCUUGUAGAAAAUGUAACUGAAUUAUUAGCUGUCUGCUAGAUAUUUUAUCAUUUACAAUAUUUUUCUGUUCUCUUUUUAAUACAUUAUGCAGAGUGUGGUAGAAUUCUUUUAGAGUAACUUUCUCAAUAAACUAAAAAAAUCACAGCAUCUGGGUUUUAUAAACAUCCUUGUUUUUAUGGAUUUCGGGUUGGUCUCAUAGCAAAUAGUUAACUUCAUUGGUAAUGUGAGUUGACAGCUACAUGUAAUUUGACUCAGGUUGUAAGCAGCUCACAAUAUACUUUCACACAGCGCCAAGAACAAAUGUACAUGAAGAUAUGAAUAUAAGCACACAGCUAAACAAGGACAACAAAGCUAAACAAAGAUGAGCAAACAUAAACAUAUAGCUGUUAUAUACAAGUCAGCAAGUGUGGGUGUGCCACCAGGUUCAGUGGUGAACCCCUUUUAUAAUUGUGUCAGUGUGGAUGUAAAACUCUACGCUGAUGACACUGUUGUUUACACACAUGAACAAACAGCAGAGCUGCUGUGAAGCUACAACUGUUAUAAAAUGAUCCCACAGCAGCUCCAUCAGUCGGGUUGAAGACUGACUGUCGGCAACAUGAUGGCUGUUUUUAUUUCUUCUAA